UCAAGCAGUCAUGGCCGCCAGCACCACUUCAGCCCAGUAUUUAACGGUUUUUAGUUUUAAAUCACUGAAUGCAACAAGUGUUAUUUGGACAGCUUUUUUAUCAUUUGUCGUAGUCGCUGUGUUUGUGUUAGUGAAACUAAUUUUGAGGCGUUAUAGCUACAGUAAAGGAAUUCCGUCUAAACAAGUGAAUUUGUUCAGCAUUCUCGGAAAUUUUGCGGAUUUUCCACCGGAGAGAGCUAGGAAUGGAUAUUCCUUCAAUGUCUAUUUACUACAGACCCUCAGUGCUUACAGUCAUCUUUUCAAGAAAGAAAAGCUGUACUGCUUUUGGAUUUCAUACUUUCCUUUCAUAGUGCUCAAAAAGGCUGAAGCAGUAGAGGAUGUGAUAUGUGGCACUAAAAUGAUGGAAAAGGGUUGGGUGUACAAAUGGUUACAUCCCUGGUUAGGUACAGGAUUACUCACUAGUCAUGGCGGCAAGUGGAAAUCUCGCCGGAAGUUGCUCACUCCGUCUUUCCACUUCGACAUUUUGAAGGACUUUCUUCCAGUCUUUGACGAGCAAUCGAGGCAACUCGUCAUCAAGUUGAAGCAAGAGACUGCCAAUCCAUGGACCGACAUCGUCCUGCCGGUCACUCUUUGCAGUCUCGACAUCAUCUGCGAAACAACUCUUGGAGUGAAGAUUGGAGCUCAGAACAAUAGUGACUCGGAGUACGUGAAAGCAGUUUCUAGGGCCUCUGAGAUACUGAUGGAACGGAUGGUGAACCCGAGCUACUGGUUCGAUUGGCUGUUUCACUUGUCUCCGCUGGGGAGGCAGUUUAAAAAAGAUCUCGAGCUCUUACAUUCUUUUACAAGAUCGGUAAUCAACGAGAAGAAGACGAAGCUGCUGUGCGGAGUUCCGGAGAUGGCCAGGCGGAAGCGGAAGGCUCUGAUGGAUGUCCUGUUGGAGCACCACAUCCAAAACAAGAGCCUCACGGAGGAGGACAUCCGGGAAGAAGUGGACACCUUCGCAUUCGAGGGCCACGACACCACAUCCAUGGGAAUGAGUUGGGCGCUCUAUUUGAUCGGCCUCUAUCCGGACGUGCAGGCAAACAUUCAUGAGGAGCUUGACAGGAUAUUUGGAGAUGACGUCGACAGACCCAUCACCACAGACGAUUUGAAGGACAUGCAAUACCUGGAUCGAGUGCUCAAGGAAUCUCAGAGACUUUAUCCUUCUGUUCCAAUGUUUGGUAGACAAGCCAAUGAAGAGUUCACUGUCUGUGGCAGCAGAAUCCCCAAAGGGUCCCUCUGUAUCGUUCUGACGUACCACUUGCAUCGGGAUGAAGAAGUGUUUCCCAAUCCGGAAGUUUUCAACCCGGAUCGUUUCUUACCGGAAAAUUCGGCGGAAAGGCAUCCUUAUGCAUACAUACCGUUUUCGGCAGGACCCAGAAAUUGUAUCGGUCAGAGAUUUGCGGUAAUGGAAGAAAAAGUAGUGAUUUCCAACGUUAUGCGUCACUAUACUUUGGAGUCGGUAGAGUCUCGCGAUAAAAUUCCUCCUGCCACAGAGCUCAUCCUGAGAGCUUCUCAUCCUCUGAAGAUCAAGAUCAGGUCGAGACGAUAACUAUCCAAGCUUUCGAUGAAACACGCCAGGGAUAUUCUACUCAGAGUGAAAUGAUACCCUUGUGGACAGAAAGCAAUGCAACAUAAAUCUGACUUUUUAACAAAAUAUUAGUUUCAUGAAUUUUCUGAUUAAAAAAAAACAGCUUUAAAAAUCUUACAAUAUCUUCUUCCAAAAUACGACAGUAAUACCCUCACUCAAAUCAUUCUCAAAAAUAAAUAAAUAAAUAAAAAUGGAUUUCUAAGAAUUUAAAUAUUAGUUUAUUGCUGCAAAAACUUUUGCUGCCAACCUUUGCUUCUGUACCCUUCCAAGUCUUUAAAAUUGUACUUCAAACCAAGGAAUAGAAUUAGAUCAACGAAGUGCACUUUACAAAACGAAAACUGUUUUGUUCUAGAUCUCUCAACUGAACUCAGGGGCGGACCGGGUCCCUCAAGAGGGCGCCAACCUUGGC